CCUACGGGAGGCAGCAGUGAGGAAUAUUGGUCAAUGGACGAGAGUCUGAACCAGCCAAGUAGCGUGAAGGAUGACUGCCCUAUGGGUUGUAAACUUCUUUUAUAUGGGAAUAAAACGUUCCACGUGUGGGAUUUUGUAUGUACCAUAUGAUUAAGGAUCGGCUAACUCCGUGCCAGCAGCCGCGGUAAUACGGAGGAUCCGAGCGUUAUCCGGAUUUAUUGGGUUUAAAGGGAGCGUAGGUGGAUUGUUAAGUCAGUUGUGAAAGUUUGGGGCUCAACCGUAGAAUUGCAGUUGAAACUGGCAGUCUUGAGUACAGUAGAGGUGGGCGGAAUUCGUGGUGUAGCGGUGAAAUGCUUAGAUAGCACGAAGAACUCCGAUUGCGAAGGCAGUUCACUGGACUGCAACUGACGCUGAGGCUCGAAAGUGUGGGUAUCAAACAGGAUUAGAUACCCGAGUAGUC
rnacentral:rRNA from 1 species